ACAGAGGGCGCGAGCGUUGUCCGGAAUCACUGGGCGUAAAGGGCGCGUAGGUGGCCACCAUAAGGCCGCGGUGAAAGUUCGGGGCUCAACCCCGGAUCGGCCGCGGCGACUGUGGGGCUUGGGCACGGUAGAGGCAGAUGGAAUUCCGGGUGUAGCGGUGGAAUGCGUAGAGAUCCGGAAGAACACCAGUGGCGAAGGCGGUCUGCUGGGCCGUGGGACAGCAAUGUCCUAUUAGCCGACACUGAGGCGCGACAGCGUGGGGAGCAAACAGGA
rnacentral:rRNA from 1 species